UGCGCGGUUAUCAGAGGGAGUGAGCCGGCCGAGAGGCGCAUGUGCUAAGGACGGAACGGGCGCCGGAGACUUCUCCCGAAGCCGAUGAACAACCGCAUACGUAGAACGGGGCGGCGGAUUCUGAACCUCGUGUGACUGGAUGUAGGCAGCAAAACCAAUAAAGGCAACAGCCAAUGAAAGAAGGCAGAAGAAGAAGGUGACCAGAGGUGGGUGUCGCUCCAGGCAAACACGUAGGGAGCCCAGCAGGGAGCAGAUGAUCAUGUUCAGCCCUAAGAGAUCAACAUGGAAAAUAUCAUGGCUGGUUUUCACUACAGCUACUUGAAGCAUGAACCCAAGUUUCUGUGAUUGCUGCAAAUGAUCUUCAGUUGUGGUUGGCCUCUUUCAAGCAGCUGUGAUGUGUCCAGGUGACUUCCAAGAUUGCCUUCUCCCGUACAAUUUGCCCCAAAUGCUUAGGUCCUCUGUGGGGAGGCUACUCCAGCCCACCAGAACCCAACUGGCAACUGUCACUCAGAGGACCUUUUCAUCGGCCGCCUUAAGACUGUGAAACGACUUGCCAGAAGAGCUCUGACAGCUAAAUGAGCUGUCGGAAUUUAAAACACAUCUAAGGACCUAUCUCUUCCAGCAGGCCUACCCAGUCAAUUUUAAUCAUGAAUUCUAAAUUGAAAUCUUGUGUUCACUAUAUUUUAUCUUUGUUCUGUGUAUUUUAUAAAAAUACUUUUUAAUAUGUGUAUUUUCUAUAAUGUUUGUGAUGAUUAUGCGUAUUAGGUUAUGUUGUAACGUACCUUAAGCCACAAGGAGAAGCUGGUAAGAAAAUUGCUGUUCUUGUUAUUAUAGUAGCCUACAGUGAUGAGAAAAAGAGGGGCUCUCCUUAGAGCAUUUAGCACCUGAAGGAGUUCAGCUGUAGUAAGGCUGCUAUCUAGUGCAAGAAGCAAAGGGAAUAAGAUAAGUCAGUGGUCUACUGAGAUGGAACAACAUGGUGUGUUUUUGUUAAAUAAUUGUUAAAGUUAUCUGGCUAAGCACUCAAGUACUUUAAUUGUAGAAAAUGGCACAUAAUUUUCAACUAUUCUGUGGUUCCCAUACUUAUGUAGGACACACAUAUUUAAUCACCAUAGAGCUUCUAUUGCAUUUUUCAAUAUUUGGCAAUACUUCUCAUGAAACUGGGUCCCCUUUUACACUGUCAUAUAAUCCAAAUUAUCAAAGCAGUCAAUCCACAUUAUCUUCUUUGAACUAGAUUAUACGAGUCUACACUGCCAUAUAAUUUUCAGUUCAAGGUCAAUUGAUUUUUUUGUGGCAGGGUAGAAGGGGCCUGGGAGGGUCUGCGACAAAUUGGAGAGCAUCCAGGUCAUUAAUGCAAUGGAAGCCAUAUUGAAUCCAUGUAUUUCUGUUCUGCUUUGUUGUCAGUCAUUAAUUUUUUAACAAGUGCUUUGACUGGAAAAUGAACAUUUCUAUGGAAGUAAGAGAAUUAUUCUUUCUUAAAUCAAUGGGCAAUUGAUAUGGAGUCUUUUCUGCCUCUCUGAACUUAAGCCAGAGACCGGCCAUUUAAACACUGCGGUCUGGACCAAAUAAAUUCAUAAAAAUCCUGA